GGUAGACAUGGUUUGGGAAUCGUCGAUUCAAAGAAAGAUGACUUAGGAAUCGGCGAUUGGAAAAUCUAGGCUUUUAGGCGAUUAAGAAGGGGAAAAGGUGUUGUGAGAUUUGGGGAAAAACUCUCCACUAUUUAUAGCCCCUGGGAAAAUUGCAAAAACCCCCUAGAAAAUCCGAAAAUUACAAAAAUAGAGAUCGGAAGUUGAUCUCCAUAUCUCCGAUAUCAC
rnacentral:lncRNA from 1 species